CUGGGUCACCUGUUCAGACAUAUGCAUCAUUGCAUCCAGCCAGUGACAAGUUAGCAGGCGUGAAGAAAGGAGGGUGCUCACAGUUGUUGGGUGGGGAGAAGGGGCUGCACAAAAGAUUAAAUCACCUGACGUGUCCCUUGCAUGUUGACUAAGAAACUAUAAGAGGACCUGUUCAUUACCAAAGCCUUCUUAGGACUAUUUGCUUGGACAAAAGUAAAUCUAGAUUCAAAUACCUGCUGAAACAAACAAGAGGCUUCUCUCAACAUGAGCGUGCAAUUGAAAAAUGUGGCUCUUGCAAUUGGAGGUGUAUCAUUAACAAUAGCAAAAAUAAUAAUUUCAUUUAGCUGGCCAUUAUUCUUCCUCUCCCUCGUUGGACUCUUCGCCACACCAAUGUUAUAUUCACAGUUGAUGACAACC